rnacentral:rRNA from 1 species
CAGUCGCCGCGGUAAUACAGAGGGUGCGAGCGUUAAUCGGAUUUACUGGGCGUAAAGCGUGCGUAGGCGGCUUCUUAAGUCGGAUGUGAAAUCCCUGAGCUUAACUUAGGAAUUGCAUUCGAUACUGGGAAGCUAGAGUAUGGGAGAGGAUGGUAGAAUUCCAGGUGUAGCGGUGAAAUGCGUAGAGAUCUGGAGGAAUACCGAUGGCGAAGGCAGCCAUCUGGCCUAAUACUGACGCUGAGGUACGAAAGCAUGGGGAGCAAACAGGAUUAGAGACCCCCGUAGUCCCUGUCUCUUAUAU